UCGACGCGAAAUCGAUAGCAAACAAGUACCGUGAGGGAAAGUUGCAAAGAACUUUGAAGAGAGAGUUCAAGAGAACGUGAAAUCGCUGAAGUGGAACCGGAGAGAGUUAACAUAACUUGGUAGCUAUAUCCUCUAAAGUCGCUUAACUGUGGCUCUGGGGGGUGGACGCUACCUGUUGUUGCACUGACUGCGUUGAUUGUGCUUUCCGAACAGUAUAGUGUUGCCCACUUUGUGGUGUCUUGCUUUCUGGGAGGUUUGUCAUAAUUAACGUAAAGCCAAUUCCCUUUGGAGUCAGUGUGAAAGUUAACCACCUUUCCGACCCGUCUUGAAACACGGACCGAGGAGUGUAAUUUAUACGCGAGUCAAGGGGUGGUGAAAACCCUAGGGGCGGAAUGAAAGUAAAGGCCGGUUAACCGGUUGACAUGGGAUCCGCUCUUCGGAGCGGCGCACCAUGGCCCUGUCUUGUCUGCUUGCAGAUGGGCAGCGGUAGAGCGUAUAGUUUGCGACCCGAAAGAUGGUGAACUAUGCUUGAGCAGGACGAAGCCAGAGGAAACUCUGGUGGAAGUCCGUAUCGGUUCUGACGUGCAAAUCGAUCGAUAGACUUGGGUAUAGGGGCGAAAGACUAAUCGAACCGUCUAGUAGCUGGUUCCCUCCGAAGUUUCCCCCAGGAUAGCUGGAGUAGUGGUGCGUGGUUAUAUCCGGUAAAGCGAAUGAUUAGAGGACUUGGGGGCGAAACGAUCUCAACCUAUUCUCAAACUUUCUAAUGGGUAUGAUGUCUCGGUUUCUUUAUUGAACUGUUGACAUGAACGUGUGCUCCAAGUGGGCCAUUUUUGGUAAGCAGAACUGGCGCUGUGGGAUGAACCAAACGCUGGGUUAAGGUGCCUAACUUUUCUCUCAUGAGACCCCAUAAAAGGCGUUGGUUGAUAUAGACAGCAGGACGGUGGCCAUGGAAGUCGGUACCCGCUAAGGAGUGUGUAACAACUCACCUGCCGAAUCAACUAGCCCUGAAAAUGGAUGGCGCUUGAGCGAAAGACCUAUACCCGGCCGUUACUGGCUUGUGC
rnacentral:ncRNA from 1 species